rnacentral:rRNA from 1 species
GACGAACGCUGGCGGCGUGCUUAACACAUGCAAGUCGAACGGAAAGGCCCUUCGGGGUACUCGAGUGGCGAAAGGGUGAGUAACACGUGGGUGAUCUGCCCUGCACUUUGGGAUAAGCCUGGGAAACUGGGUCUAAUACCGAAUAGGACCACGCGCUUCAUGGUGUGUGGUGGAAAGCUUUUGCGGUGUGGGAUGGGCCCGCGGCCUAUCAGCUUGUUGGUGGGGUAAUGGCCUACCAAGGCGACGACGGGUAGCCGGCCUGAGAGGGUGACCGGGCACACUGGGACUGAGAUACGGCCCAGACUCCUACGGGAGGCAGCAGUGGGGAAUAUUGCACAAUGGGCGCAAGCCUGAUGCAGCGACGCCGCGUGAGGGAUGACGGCCUUCGGGUUGUAAACCUCUUUCAAUAGGGACGAAGCGCAAGUGACGGUACCUAUAGAAGAAGCACCGGCCAACUACGUG